GCCAAAGAAGACAUGAUACUAGUGUAAUGAGGUAAUGCCUUUGCAUAUGCUCACAUUAUACAUUAAGACAUGCAAGGGAAAACUGUCCUCCGAUGAGACUGGUAAAGAGUCCUCUGAUGAGUUAUGGGUUGUGGAGAACAAGUGCAAGGUGGUUUUUAAAAUUUACACCAAAGAAUUCCCAGACGAGGAGAUCACAUUCCAUGCUAGCCUACCGUAUGUGGAGAGAGGUAAUCUGUUUGGUUCAGCUCUCUGUAUAAGACAUAUUUUUCAGAUUAAUAUCUAUGGAUAUAUAUGCAGUGUUAAGUGUUUGACACUGCAUUUUUUCAUGUACAACUUUCAACGUACAGUGGCAGUAACAAAUGGCAGUGGCCCAAGUACGCAUGCUCAAACUCCAGUAUGUAAACCAAAUAGGUAUGUUUUAUGUAGAUGCCUUUCGUGCCAGUGUAAACCAAAUACAGAUAUACUUACGUGC